rnacentral:lncRNA from 13 species
AUGAUUCAUUCGAUGAUUCCUUCAAUCUCUCUCCUUUCUCUUAGGGCUGUUUUGCUGUGUGUGUAUUUCAGAAUUGGUCAAAUACAGUCACACCAUUGGAGUUUGGGAAUCUGCCGCGCCUUUGCCUCCACGGACCAUCUCAGCAAUUCUCAGCCGCAGUCCGCACACAGUGCACUUUCCCUAGACGGCCUGGAGGGGGUGGUAUUGCUACACUCAGACUCCAGAGUGGAGCUCCAGCCUACCAGCGACACCACCCUGAACCCUAGGAGCUACCACAGCAGCCGGCUCUCCCUGGAGGACAAAGCACUUCCUGCUGGCGGGGAGGGGAAGUUCCGUGAUGGGAAAAAGAGCAUAGGGACAGAUUAUGAGGAGAACUGGCAGGACGUGAGGGACAGCACCAGUGAGUCCACACACCUUGAGGAUGACGAGGAUUAGGAGUCCCUCCAGUCCAUCUAUGAGGAGGAGGAAGAAGGGUUGGUGGUGGUAAUGCCAAAGCACAUACAAAUAAGAAUAAUAAGAAGAAGAAGAAGAGGCAGGAUGUGAAGGGGACCUCCACUGGGAGCCCAUCCCCAUACCUGCAGGUACAGACAUUGUAGAACACAGACAUUGAAGAACUGACAACACGAGUUACCUCCAUUCGAUGUUAUUCAAUGAGUCUCUUGUAAAAAAGCACUUAUAAAGAGAAUCCACUUUUGUCAUUAUAGAAUCAACCAAAGGGUUUGGGUUGUUUUGAAUGCGCUACUUCUGGUUUGAAGCUAUUGUGUUUUUACAUUUGCAAAGGAACGUAGAGGUUGUGCUCAAAGCCACGACACAGGAAGUGGGAAAUGUUUCUAGUUGGCUUUUGAGUACCCUUGUUGUUCCUCUGGCUUAAGAUGAAGCAGCGUUAUAAUAUACGUAUGUCUUGUUAGUUUCUGACAGUGUUUUGUAUUUUCUUUGGCUUUUGUCCUUGCAGGAGUUCCAUAGUUUACCGAAGAGACUGGUUCCCUCUGAGAUCAAACACUGUCUGUAUGAACUUGAGGUGAGUGACAGAGACAGAGAGGAACUGGGUUGCAAAACCAGACAUUGGGUUCAAGUACUAUUUUGUUUUUCAAAUGCUUUGUUUGAUAGAGCCUGUCUGGAGUGUCAGAUGACAGUGUUUUGUACUUUUCGGGACUAUUUCAUUGGUUGUAUUAUGCCAGGCAAACUCAUUAGAGUGCAGCUAAUGUUUUUGAAAGACAACAAAUACUAUUUUUAACUCUGUCUGGUUAAACAAUGAACAACAACUGACAAGAAGAAACAGAGCAAAUGUUGAUAAUUUUAACCUCAACAAAAUGCAGACAGAUUUAUGAUCGUUUGGAGAUGUGUGUUCUCUACUAACUCCUCUUUCAGUUCCUAGUGCUGGCAUCUUGCCAGGUUUCUCUCAGAAAACAUUCAUGAAAUGAAGACUGCAACCAGACACCAUCCUUAGUGAUCAAGAGCAAAUUGCCCGCUGGGUACACCACAUCCAUUCAACAUGGAAACUUGGGUCUUAUUUGGUUGAAAUGUUGAUCAAUAAGAUUUCCACCAUUAUUCACCCACUCAAAAAGAUCGCUAGAAGUUUGCUGAAAUUCGAAUGUUUCGAAUGUUGGUUGUGCUUUCAACCAUCUGAAAGCACAGCCAAAUUAAAGUGGAAAAACAAUGUCUGAUAUUUGGUUUAGUUGUCAUCUAAAUGUGUUAUCACUGCGCUUUUAACCAAUUAAAAGCACAAGAAAGCUCAAUUGGGAAUACCAUGUCAGAUAUUUUGUAUUUAUACAACAAGUUGACGUGUUAUCACUGUGCUUCAUCAAAUAGCAAAACCAAAUGACCUGGAUUUCAGUUGAGAUUAAAUCAAAUCAAUUGUUAUUCAUCACAUGCUUCGUAAGUAAGAGGUGUGGACAAAUAGUGAAAUGCUUACUUACGGGCCCUUCCCAACAACGCAGAGUGAAAGAAAAUAGAUAGAUAAUAAGUAAAACACGUAAUAAUAAAAGCAAAAAUAGAUACUUAAUGAGUAAUGAUAACUUGACUAUAUACAAGGGGUAACAUGCAGGGAAACAAGGGGUAACAUAACUAGGAAUAAAGUCACUGACUGAUAAAGAGAGAGAAGGAGCAAUUGAAGAUAUGGCCAGUUGGAAAUGAUUUACAGAUGGGCUUGAAGGAAGGGGGAGGGGAGAAAAAUAAGUUGAGGCAACAGAUGAGAGCAAAUUGCAUGGGAAGGAAAGCAAGAGAACAGUCAUGGUGAAAGGGGUCACCUGUGGGAGAGGCUUCUGAGGAAGAGAGAGUAGCAGUGAACCAAGCUGACACCCAACAAUUAGGAGUGAGCCAAGCUGACACCCAACAAUUCGGAGUGAGCCAAGCUGACACCCAACAAUUAGGAGUGAGCCAAGCUGACACCCAACAGGAGUGAGCCAAGCUGACACCCAACAAUCAGGAGUGAGCCAAGCUGACACCCAACAGGUAGGAGUGAGCCAAGCUGACACCCAACAAUCAGGAGUGAGCCAAGCUGUCACCCAACAAUCAGGAGUGAGCCAAGCUGUCACCCAACAAUCAGGAGUGAGCCAAGCUGUCACCCAACAAUCAGGAGUGAGUGUGUUACCUAUUUGUACUACUGUUGUAUGCACAAAUCAAAUGUUAUUGGUCACAUUAACAGGUGUUAUUGUGGGUGUAGUGAAAUGCUUGUAAGGUGUGUGUGUGUGUGUGUGUGUGUGUGUGUGUGUGUGUGUGUGUGUGUGUGUGUGUGUGUGUGUGUGUGUGUGUGUGUGUGUGUGUCCGUCCCCGUCCGUCCGUCCAGCUCUCUACUGUCCCAGCGUUGCACUUCCAACAUAAUGGAUGGGGAGAGGAAAAAAUAAAUGAGAAACACAGUUUUGUCUUGAUUGAAACCGUUGAAAUCAAUUGUUUGUCUGCAAAUAUUUACCAUUCUCACAGAGAUCAAAUUAACUGCACAUUCACUUCCUCCUUACACCUGGACCUUUUCAGUGAAGGGAAGUAGGUAAGUAUUUACGAUAGCCUGCUGUAUGCUAAAUGAAUGGUUCACACUUUGGCCUCUUUGGAGUCUAGUCACAUGCAGUAGUGGUGCGUGGGUAUGUUCACUGGGGAAGCGUUGUGAUAAUUGUUUGUUUGCUCUAUAACCUGUUAAUUCAUAUACCUUGAGAUUGUGAUACAGUGAGGGAAAAAAGUAUUUGAUCCCCUGCUGAUUUUGUACGUUUGCCCACUGACAAAGAAAUGAUCCGUCUAUGACUUUAAUGGUAGGUUUAUUUGAACAGUGAGAGACAGAAUAACGACAAAGAAAUCCAGAAAAACGCAUGUCAAAAAUGUUUUAAAUUGAUUUGCAUUUUAAUGAGGGAAAUAAGUAUUUGACCCCCUCUCAAUCAGAAAGAUUUCUGGCUCCCAGGUGUAUUUUAUACAGGUAACAAGCUGAGAUUAGGAGCACACUCUUAAAGGGAUUGAAACAUAAGAACACUCAACGGAAAUGUGGUUGGCAUUUGAAUCACGGGUUACACAUUUAGUCAUUUGGCAGGCACACUUUUCCAGAGCAUUAAUAUUAAGGUAGCUAGGUAAGACAAGCACAUAUCAUUCAUCUUAAGGUAGCUAGGUAAGACAAGCACAUAUCAUUAAUCUUAAGGUAGCUAGGUAAGACAAGCACAUAUCAUUAAUCUUAAGGUAGCUAGGUAAGACAAGCACAUAUCAUUCAUCUUAAGGUAGCUAGGUAAGACAACCACAUAUCAUUAAUCUUAAGGUAGCUAGGUAAGACAACCACACAUCACAGUCAUUUUAAGCAAACCUUUCCUUGAUGGAGGAGCUUUCAGCAAAGUCAGGACUAGGAAGAAAAGACAAGUGCACAAGAAGGGCAAGUACAUGGUAAGCUGUUGAAAAUGUUUUAAGCCUGACAUGAACAUUCAAUGGUUAUUAAGACAUUAAUGAUGGUAUAGCAUUUCUCUCCUAAAGACACAUCUGAAGUAUACAGUACAUUCAACACACAGUAUGGUUGCUAUAGAUUGGAGUGGUAUUAUAUGCAUGGCCCUCAUUCAUGGACGUCACUGUUCAGCCAUGAUAGCAAGAUUAUGGAAGUGUGUUCUUUUUCAAACAAUAAAAUGCAAACAGUACGCCCCCAUGUUAACCGUCACGCAAGAUAAGGAACAAAAAGUUAAAGCACUUGCUCAACAUUUCUGGUGAAAUUGCACUUCUUGCUUGGCCAUCUAGUUUACCACUCUCUUCUCUGGGUCCUAAGCCACGUGAAGCUGUUGGGUGACCAUGUGAACCUGCUGGAUGCCUGAUGUGGUCCGUGUCUUAACCUCACGAGCCAUCUGGCACCAGGCACAAGCGUAGCAGCAACACACCAACCCGACGUCCACGCAGGUCGAACCCUGAGAGGGGUAAGAAAGAAGGAGAGAUGGAUAGAAAAUGAAAGCAGAGGACAAGAACAUGUCAAGAGGACAGAGUUAAAAGGAGGAUACGGAUAGAGGUGGAGAGAAGAAUAGGGCGUAUAGAAUGGUUCAGAGGAUGAAGGAGAGAGAUACGGUUGUAGUUAAUUUCAUAUUUAGCGUUAUAUUUAAAGGGGAAUCAACACUAAGAACAACAACAUUUCCAAGCACACCAAUGAUAUUUCUUAACACCUCAAACGUCUGAUAGUUUCCAACACCAUUUCCCCUCAGAAGGGUAAAUGAGAGGUGCUGUGGGUACCACCCCCACCUGCCCCUGC